rnacentral:rRNA from 1 species
CCUACGGGAGACAGCAGUGAGGAAUAUUGGUCAAUGGACGAGAGUCUGAACCAGCCAAGUAGCGUGAAGGAUGACUGCCCUAUGGGUUGUAAACUUCUUUUAUAUGGGAAUAAAAUGUUCCACGUGUGUGAUUUUGUAUGUACCAUAUGAAUAAGGAUCGGCUAACUCCGUGCCAGCAGCCGCGGUAAUACGGAGGAUCCGAGCGUUAUCCGGAUUUAUUGGGUUUAAAGGGAGCGUAGGUGGAUUGUUAAGUCAGUUGUGAAAGUUUGCGGCUCAACCGUAAAAUUGCAGUUGAAACUGGCAGUCUUGAGUACAGUAGAGGUGGGCGGAAUUCGUGGUGUAGCGGUGAAAUGCUUAGAUAUCACGAAGAACUCCGAUUGCGAAGGCAGUUCACUGGACUGCAACUGACACUGAGGCUCGAAAGUGUGGGUAUCAAACAGGAUUAGAUACCCUAGUAGUC